GCCCCCGUUGCUCAGUGGUAGAGCAGCGGUUUUGUAAACCGCCAACCUGCGUUCGAUUCGUAGCGGGGGCUCCA
rnacentral:tRNA from 1 species